GGCGAGUGAGCGGCAAAAGCUCAAAUUUGAAAUCUAGCACCUUCGGUGUUCGAGUUGUAAUUUGAAGAUGGUAACCUUGGGUUUGGCUCUUGUCUAUGUUCCUUGGAACAGGACGUCAUAGAGGGUGAGAAUCCCGUCUGAUGAGAUGCCCAUUCCUAUGUAAGGUGCUAUCGAAGAGUCGAGUUGUUUGGGAAUGCAGCUCUAAGUGGGUGGUAAAUUCCAUCUAAAGCUAAAUAUUGGCGAGAGACCGAUAGCGAACAAGUACAGUGAUGGAAAGAUGAAAAGAACUUUGAAAAGAGAGUGAAAAAGUACGUGAAAUUGUUGAAAGGGAAGGGCAUUAGAUCAGACUUGGUGUUUUACGAUUAUCUUCUCUUCUUGAGUUGUGCACUCGUAUUUCACUGGGCCAGCAUCGAUUCGGAUGGCAAGAUAAUGGCAGUUGAAUGUGGCUUCACUUCGGUGGAGUGUUAUAGCUUCUGCUGAUAUUGCCUGUCUGGAUCGAGGGCUGCGUCUUUUGACUAGGAUGCUGGCGUAAUGAUCUAAUGCCGC
rnacentral:rRNA from 1 species